AGAACGAACGCUGGCGGCGUGGAUAAGACAUGCAAGUCGAACGGGACAACAUUUGUAGCAAUACAGAUGUUGUUUAGUGGCGAACGGGUGCGUAACACGUGGGCAAUCUGCCGAGAAGUGGGGGAUAGCUCGCCGAAAGGCGAAUUAAUACCGCAUAUGAUCAGGGACGACAUCUUCCCAACAUCAAAGCCGGGGGUAACCUGGCGCUUCUUGAGGACGCCCGCGGCCUAUCAGCUAGUUGGUGAGGUAACGGCUCACCAAGGCUAUGGACGGUAGCUGGUCUGAGAGGACGACCAGUCACACUGGAACUGAGACACGGUCCAGACA
rnacentral:rRNA from 1 species